GGCCAGGCCCCAGAGCCAAUCGGAGCGCGCGGGGCGGACCGCAGGCUCACUCCACGUACGGCGCCGGGGGGACCGGGUCCUUGCGCCGGUUUCCGCUUCUCGUGGGUCCUGCGGCGGCGGCGGCGGCCAAGCGGCGUUCACCAGGGAGUCGUUUCGGCCCAAUUGACCAGUAUUCCUUACUGAUAAGAGACACUGACCAUGGAGUGGUUCUGGUGAGAUGACAUGACCCUCGUGAAGGGGCCUGAAGCUUCAUUGUGUUUGUUCUCCCUCUGUUGCCGAGGCUGGACUGUACUGCCGUGAUCUCGGCUUGCUGCAACCUCCCUGCCUCGGGCUCCCAUGAUUCUCCUGCCUCAGCCUGCCGAGUGCCUGGGAUUGCAGGCAUGCGCCACCACGCCUGACUGGUUUUUGUAUUUUUGGUGGAGAUGGGGUUUCGCUGUGUUGGCCGGGCUGGUCUCCAGCUCCUGACCUUGAGUGAUCUGCCCGCCUCGGCCUCCCGAGGUGCUGGGAUUGCAGACGGAGUCUCUCUCACUCAGUGCUGCCCAGGCUGGAGUGCAGUGGCGUGAUCUCGGCUCGCUACAACCUCCACCUCCCAGCCGCCUGCCUUAGCCUCCCAAAGUGCUAAGAUUACAGCCUCUGCCCAGCCGCCACCCUGUCUAGGAAGUGAGGAGUGUCUCUGCCCGGCCACCCAUCGUCUGGGAUGUGAGGAGCGCCUCUGCCUGGCUGCCCCGUCUGGGAUGUGAGGAGCGCCUCUGCCCGGCCGCCACCCUGUCUGGGAAGUGAGGAGAGCCUCUGCCCGGCCGCCACCCUGUCUAGGAAGUGAGGAGAGCCUCUGCCCGGCUGCCACCCCGUCUUGGAUGUGAGGAGCGCCUCUGCCCGGCCGCCCCGUCUGGGAGGUGAGGGGCGCCUCUGCCCGGCCACCCCAUCUGGGAGCCUUUCUGCAGGUGUACCCAACAGCUCCGAGGAGACAGUGACCAUCGAGAACGGGCCAUGAUGACGAUGGCGGUUUUGUCGAAAAGGAAAGGGGGAAAUGUGGGGAAAAGAAAGAGAGAUCAGACUGUUACUGUGUCUGUGUAGAAAGAAGCAGACCAAGGAGACACCAUUUUGUUCUGUACUAAGAAAAAUUCUUCUGCCUUGGGAUGCUGUUAAUCUAUGACCUUACCCCCAACCCCGUGCUCUCUGAAACCUGUGCUGUGUCAACUCAGGGUUAAAUGGAUUAAGGGCGGUGCAAGAUGUGCUUUGUUAAACAGAUGCUUGAAGGCAGCAUGCUCGUUAAGAGUCAUCACCACUCCCUAAUCUCAAGUACCCAGGGACACAAACACUGUGGAAGUCCGCAGGGACCGCUGCGUAGGAAAACCAGAGACCUUUGUUCAAGUGUUUAUCUGCUGACCUUCUCUCCACUAUUGUCCUAUGACCCUGCCACAUCCCCCUCUCUGAGAAACACCCAGGAAUGAUUGAUAAAUACUAAAAUAAAUAAAUAAAUAAAAUAAAAACUUGAUUUUGA
rnacentral:lncRNA from 10 species